rnacentral:rRNA from 1 species
GACGAACGCUGGCGGCGUGCCUAAUACAUGCAAGUAGAACGCAGUUGCGAACGGGGGAGUAACGCGUCGGUAACUGCCUGGUAGCGGGGGAUAAAUAUUGGAAACGAUAGCUAAUACUGCAUACUACCAGAUGGACCUGCGUUGUAUUAGCUAGUUGGUGAGGUAACGGCCCACCAAGGUAAAGAUACAUAGCCGACCUGGGAGGGGUGUCCGCCCAACUGGGACUGAGGCACGGCCCAGAAUCCCUCCGGGGGCAGCAGUAGGGAAACUUCGGCAAAGGGGGGAAACCUGACCGAGGAACGCCGCGUGAGUGAAGGAAGUUUUCGGGUCGUAAAACUCUGUUGUUAAGGGAGCGGUACUUAACCAGAAAGGAACGGCUAACUACGUGCCAGCAGCCGCGGUAAUAC